AGGACGUUCGAAGGCGAGGGGCUUCAAAAAGUUGAAAUCCGCCGCGCGAACUUCGCGCCGGUGUAACCUAUAGAAACCGCGGCGAUAAACAAGCAGUCCGCUGUUUCGCCGCAACAAAACAGCGUCAGUUUCGGCAAGGCAGGGAUGAGGAGAGAGGCGCGUCGAGUCGUCUAAAUUUUUUUUCACGCUUAUCGCUUUGGAAAAGGAAAAUUCGCGGGAGCGAAGCGCACGCAAGCCUGCAAGUCAACACGGUCUCGUCGGCGAAAAACUCCUUGGCUCUCCGGACUCGAACCAUGUGAGAGAAGCUUCGACGCAGAGGAGGAGAAUCAGCUUCGGACGCGCUACGGAUCGACGUCUAAAUUCGCCGCGAGGACGGAAGGAGAGGACGAGGGCUCUGCUGACGGAAGGCUCAUAUUUUGAAAUUUUAAGCUAACCGCGAGCUCGUCCGGGGAAGAUGGCCUGCAAGAGAAAGAGGCGCAGCAGCAAGCCGCAGGUGAACGGCUUCAUCCUGUUCUUCAUGAAGAUGCUGCGCAAGAACCCGCGGGCCUGCGUCACGCGGGUGGCCAAGCAGGCGGGCAAGUGCUGGCGUCAAAUGUCGCGGAAGGAGCGCUGCAGGUACAUGAUGAGGGCCAGAAGGCGCCGUUAACGCCGAUCGUCUUCCUUCAGAGUUGGCCGUUGCCGAUGUCCUCGCCCCGUGUCCUGGAUACGCAGAAAAUUGAGCAAGUUUACCGACCACGUACCUAGUCACGUCUUCCGCUUUUUUAUCUAUCUCCAACGUAUAAUAACGUCGAUUAUGUACACGUCUUUUGGAAUAUAUAAAUAUACAAUCGUUUUGGAUCUUUACAAGCAAA